CCCUGAGCCAUACCAUUCAUCAAAAACAGCUAAAAUGUGAAAAUUAACUGCAGGAGGAAAAGGAGUAUGCUGACGUUGCUGUUCAUUGAAAUUAAUCUUUUCUACUACACAUAGAAGAGGCACGACUGAGUGGCUCUUGACCAGAUAAUAAAGGACUAGAAGGUACAGGAUUCGGAUCCAUUUCAAUGUCAUUUUGAGAUGUAUUCUGUAAGGAUUCCACCAAGACCUUGAGGCUGCACGCUCGAAUGGUACUGGAAGGCUAAUACCGCAACAUCCAAGUCCCUGACCACUGUGUGCC